CCGCGCUGGGGCCGCCGGGGCCAUGGCAGCCGGCUGCUGGCCGCCGCGGUCGACAACUGGCGUGACGACGGUUUCCGGACCGCCGUGGCGUGGG
rnacentral:tRNA from 1 species